GUAAUGAUGGCGAAGAGGUCACACCCGUUCCCAUUCCGAACACGGAAGUUAAGCUCUUCAGCGCCGAUGGUAGUUGGGGGUCUCCCCCUGUGAGAGUAGGACGUUGCCAG
rnacentral:rRNA from 1 species